rnacentral:rRNA from 1 species
ACGGAAGGCAGCAGUGAGGAAUAUUGGUCAAUGGGCGAGAGCCUGAACCAGCCAUGUCGCGUGCAGGAAUACGGCCCUAUGGGUUUUAAACUGCUUUUGCCUGGGGAUAAAGUGGCGGACUUGUCCGUUAUUGCAGGUACCAGGCGAAUAAGGAUCGGCUAACUCCGUGCCAGCAGCCGCGGUAAUACGGAGGAUGCGAGCGUUAUCCGGAUUUAUUGGGUUUAAAGGGUGCGUAGGCGGGAUGUUAAGUCAGCGGUGAAAGUUUGCGGCUCAACCGUAAAAUUGCCGUUGAAACUGGCGUUCUUGAGUGUAAACGAGGUAGGCGGAAUGUGACGUGUAGCGGUGAAAUGCUUAGAUAUGUCACAGAACCCCGAUUGCGAAGGCAGCUUACCAGCAUACAACUGACGCUGAGGCACGAAAGCGUGGGUAUCAAACAGGAUUAGAUACCCUGGUA